rnacentral:rRNA from 1 species
AUACGGAGGAUCCGAGCGUUAUCCGGAUUUAUUGGGUUUAAAGGGUGCUCAGGCGGGGGAUUAAGUCGGCGGUGAAAUUUUGCAGCUCAACUGUAAAAGUGCCUUCGAAACUGGUUUCCUUGAGUGUGGAUGAGGUAGGCGGAAUUUGUGGUGUAGCGGUGAAAUGCAUAGAUAUCACGAGGAACUCCGAUUGCGCAGGCAGCUUACUAAACCAUAACUGACGCUCAAGCACGAAGGCGUGGGGAUCAAACAGGAUUAGAUACCCUGGUAGUCCACGCAGUAAACGAUGAUUACUGGCUGUUUGCGAUAUAAUGUAAGCGGCUGAGCGAAAGCGUUAAGUAAUCCACCUGGGGAGUACGUUCGCAAGAAUGAAACUCAAAGGAAUUGACGGGG